GGGCCUAUAGCUCAGCUGGUUAGAGCACCUGACUCAUAAUCAGGGGGUCCCUGGUUCGAGCCCAGGUGGGUCCACAA
rnacentral:tRNA from 1 species